rnacentral:rRNA from 1 species
GAGGAAUAUUGGUCAAUGGUCGCAAGACUGAACCAGCCAUGCCGCGUGCAGGAUGAAGCAUCUAUGGUGUGUAAACUGCUUUUGUACGGGAAGAAACAACUCUUCGUGAAGAGUCUUGACGGUACCGUAAGAAUAAGGAUCGGCUAACUCCGUG